UACCAGCACCCCGAGUGGUCGGGACGAUUAUUGGGCCUAAAGCAUCCGUAGCCGGUUCUACAAGUCUUCCGUUAAAUCCACUCGCUUAACAGAUGGGCUGCGGAGGAUACUAUAGACUAGGAGGCGGAGAGGCAAGCGGUACUCAGUGGGUAGGGGUAAAAUCCGUUGAUCCAUUGAAGACCACCAGUGGCGAAGGCGGCUUGCCAGAACUCGCACUCGACGGUGAGGGAUGAAAGCUGGGGGGAGCAAACCGG
rnacentral:rRNA from 1 species